rnacentral:rRNA from 1 species
AUUGAACGCUGGCGGCAGGCCUAACACAUGCAAGUCGAGCGGAUGAAGGGAGCUUGCUCCUGGAUUCAGCGGCGGACGGGUGAGUAAUGCCUAGGAAUCUGCCUGGUAGUGGGGGAUAACGUCCGGAAACGGGCGCUAAUACCGCAUACGUCCUGAGGGAGAAAGUGGGGGAUCUUCGGACCUCACGCUAUCAGAUGAGCCUAGGUCGGAUUAGCUAGUUGGUGGGUAAAGGCCUACCAAGGCGACGAUCCGUAACUGGUCUGAGAGGAUGAUCAGUCACACUGGAACUGAGACACGGUCCAGACUCCUACGGGAGGCAGCAGUGGGGAAUAUUGGACAAUGGGCUAAAGCCUGAUCCAGCCAUGCCGCGUGUGUGAAGAAGGUCUUCGGAUUGUAAAGCACUUUAAGUUGGGAGGAAGGGCAGUAAGUUAAUACCUUGCUGUUUUGACGUUACCAACAGAAUAAGCACCGGCUAACUUCGUG